AUGUUUCAAGUGGCUUGACUUGGCGCAUGUUCAUGCAUGUAGUUGAAACAAAAUCAACAUAGCCUCUAUGAUGUUCGUGUUCAUGGUGAUUUAUAUCCUGUCCAUGCUUGCAUUCAAUGUUAGUCAAACUCAUUGCAUCUUGAUGACUGUUGUCGCUCUCUAGUUGGUCGCUUCCCAGUCUUUUGCUAGCCUUCACUUGUACUAAGCGGAAUACUGCUUGUGCAU
rnacentral:lncRNA from 1 species